rnacentral:sRNA from 1 species
UAUGGCGAAACAAUUAAAAGUGGUUUUACUUGUUUAUCAACCACAAAUCAUAUGUGGCAAUCCGCCAUCUCCUCAUCGAGAUGUCAUUUAAAAAUGAUAUUGUUCUCAAAACUAAAGAGUAUAAGAAAGAAGCAGAGAGGGUUUCUGCUUAGUCUUCUCAAUACCGUAGAAACAAGCGUUAAAAAGACGUGUUUCAAGUAUUUCAAUUGGAUUCACAUUGAGGGUUGCAACAUUUUCAGGAUUUUCUGUUUUUAAUCGGCCGAAAAUUGGAAUAAAAGAAAAAACGAAAUAUCGCAAGCCAUUCAAACAUGUUGUGUCUUUAAUUUUUGUCACUGGUUAUCCCGUAUUUCACCCUAAAGCCAAACUUUCUUCUUUCUCACAUUCUUUACUCAAAAUAACCAAGGAUGCAUUUAUAAGCAAAUCUAAAUGGCAAAGGCUUAAGAUGGCACAGCUGUGAUUUUUUUUUAAAUUUUAAAAACAUGUUCUAUUUGAUCCGAUAUACAUAUAUG